rnacentral:misc_RNA from 1 species
UCUCCGUAGGUGAACCUGCGGAGGGAUCACUACAGGCUUGCAAAAGCUCUGAAACCACUGUUUAUCAACCUGAAUCUGCUUCGGCGGGCGGCCCCAGGGCGGGGCCGUAGCCGCAAGGCGCCCGCCGAAGACCCCUAAACUCUGUCGUCUUGAGAAUCUCUGAGUAUCAUAUUAAACAGAAAACAACUUUCAACAACGGAUCUCUUGGCUCUG